rnacentral:rRNA from 1 species
GACGAACGCUGGCGGCGUGCUUAACACAUGCAAGUCGAACGGAAAGGCCCCUUUGGGGGUCCUCGAGUGGCGCACGGGUGCGUAACACGUGAGUAACCUGCCCUUGACUUCGGGAUAACUUCAGGAAACUGGGGCUAAUACCGGAUAGGAAUCCUUGCUGCAUGGUGGGGGUUGGAAAGCUUCGGCGGUUUUGGAUGGACUCGCGGCUUAUCAGCUUGUUGGUGGGGUAGUGGCUUACCAAGGCUUUGACGGGUAGCCGGCCUGAGAGGGCGACCGGCCACAUUGGGACUGAGAGACGGCCCAGACUCCUACGGGAGGCAGCAGUGGGGAAUAUUGCACAAUGGGCGGAAGCCUGAUGCAGCAACGCCGCGUGCGGGAUGACGGCCUUCGGGUUGUAAACCGCUUUCAGCAGGGGCGAAGCUUGUGGUGACGGUACCUGCAGAAGAAGCACCGGCUAACUACGUG